rnacentral:misc_RNA from 1 species
AUAUCUCAACGCAAAUUCAUGGUUGUGAACUUGUGCUUGGAUGUUGAAGGUUUUGCUGAUGUCUGUCAUCAGCUCCUUUGAAAUGCAUUAGCAAAUCUAAGAAGAUCAGCUUUGGCUUGAUAAACUAUACAUUUGUCUUUGCUGAGAUACUACGGAUUUUGCUUCCAACUUGUCCAUCUCUGGACUGUCUCUAUCGAGGCAAACCCCCUUGAC